rnacentral:rRNA from 1 species
GACGAACGCUGGCGGCGUGCUUAACACAUGCAAGUCGAACGAUGAAGCCGGAGCUUGCUCUGGUGAAUUAGUGGCGAACGGGUGAGUAACACGUGAGUAACCUGCCCUUGACUCUGGGAUAACUGCGGGAAACUGUAGCUAAUACCGGAUACGACCCUCGGAGGCAUCUCCUGGGGGUGGAAAGAAUUUCGGUCAAGGAUGGACUCGCGGCCUAUCAGCUAGUUGGUGAGGUAACGGCUCACCAAGGCGACGACGGGUAGCCGGCCUGAGAGGGUGACCGGCCACACUGGGACGGAGAACCGGCCCAGACUCCUACGGGAGGCAGCAGUGGGGAAUAUUGCACAAUGGGCGCAAGCCUGAUGCAGCAACGCCGCGUGAGGGAUGACGGCCUUCGGGUUGUAAACCUCUUUUAGCAGGGAAGAAGCGAAAGUGACGGUACCUGCAGAAAAAGCACCGGCUAACUACGUGCCAGCCGCCGCGGUAA